UGAGGAAUAUUGGGCAAUGCCCGCAAGGGUGACCCAGCAACGCCGCGUGGAGGAUGAAUGUCGUAAGAUUGUAAACUCCUGUUAGAGGGGAAGAAUAGUACCGGUUGGACCGGUAUAUGACUGUACCCUCAGAGAAAGCCCCGGCUAACUACGUGCCAGCAGCCGCGGUAAUACGUAGGGGGCAAGCGUUGUCCGGAUUUACUGGGUGUAAAGGGCGCGCAGGCGGGAUAAAAAGUCAGUGGUGAAAUCCUACAGUUUAACUGUAGAACUGCCUUUGAUACUUUUAUUCUUGAGUUCGGGAGAGAGAGACGGAAUUCCAGGUGUAGUGGUGAAAUACGUAGAUAUCUGGAAGAACACCAGUUGCGAAGGCGGUCUCUUGGUCCGACACUGACGCUGAGGCGCGAAAGCGUGGGGAGCAAACA
rnacentral:rRNA from 1 species